rnacentral:rRNA from 1 species
CACAGAGAGCUUGCUCUCGGGUGACGAGCGGCGGACGGGUGAGUAAUGUCUGGGAAACUGCCUGAUGGAGGGGGAUAACUACUGGAAACGGUAGCUAAUWCCGCAUAACGUCGCAAGACCAAAGUGGGGGACCUUCGGGCCUCAUGCCAUCAGAUGUGCCCAGAUGGRAKWAGRCUAGUAGGUGGGGUAAUGGCUCACCUAGGCGACGAUCCCUAGCUGGUCUGAGAGGAUGACCAGCCACACUGGAACUGAGACACGGUCCAGACUCCUACGGGAGGCAGCAGUGGGGAAUAUUGCACAAUGGGCGCAAGCCUGAUGCAGCCAUGCCGCGUGUAUGAAGAAGGCCUUCGGGUUGUAAAGUACUUUCAGCGAGGAGGAAGGCGUUAAGGUUAAUAACCUURGCGAUUGACGUUACUCGCAGAAGAAGCACCGGCUAACUCCGUGCCAGCAGCCGCGGUAAUACGGAGGGUGCAAGCGUUAAUCGGAAUUACUGGGCGUAAGCGCACGCAGGCGGUCUGU